UACGAAGGGGGCUAGCGUUGUUCGGAAUUACUGGGCGUAAAGCGUGCGCAGGCGGCUUCUCAAGUCAGGGGUGAAAGCCCAGAGCUCAACUCUGGAAUUGCCUUUGAGACUGAGUGGCUUGAGUACGAGAGAGGUGAGUGGAAUUCCGAGUGUAGAGGUGAAAUUCGUAGAUAUUCGGAAGAACACCAGUGGCGAAGGCGGCUCACUGGACGCGUAUUGACGCUGAGGUGCGAAAGCGUGGGGAGCAAACAGG
rnacentral:rRNA from 1 species